AUGGGAAUUGCUUCAAUUCUUGUGAGGUGUGGAAAUAGGUUUGGUUUUGUGCAUGUUGGUGUUUAUAAUAAAGGGUUUGUGCAAAGUUCUUGUGAUGUAUGGGACACUUUCAAUAGGGUUGGAUUGGUGCAACUUGUAGAUUUGGAUCUUACUGGAUCAUUUUGUUUUCUUAGUGGUGUGGUAGGGGGUGCAAUAAGUAGUUUGGUGGGUGGAAUUUGGAGUAUUGUGGUGUAUAAGAAAUAUGCAACUGAAGUGUCUAUUUAUGGAUUCUUAAUUGGAUACUUUAUGGUUAGAUUGGGUUUGGCAGGGUUGCAUAGAACUCAAGUUUAG